rnacentral:rRNA from 1 species
AGCCAUCAUUUAAAGAAAGCGUAAUAGCUCACUAGUCGAGUCGGCCUGCGCGGAAGAUGUAACGGGGCUGAAAUAUAGCACCGAAGCUGCGGCAUCAGGCGUAUCACUAAUACGCCUUACGAUUAACAAGCUAGAAUGGCGCGAAGCGACAUGAAAGGUUGUUCAAGCAACCCGAACGUUGAGUCGGGCAUCUUAGAGUGAGGAUGAUUAGUGAUACGCCUGUUGGGUAGGGGAGCGUUGUGUAAGCGGAAGAAGGUUCAUCGAGAGGUGGGCUGGACGUAUCACAAGUGCGAAUGCUGACAUAAGUAACGAUAAAACGGGUGAAAAACCCGUUCGCCGGAAGACCAAGGGUUCCUGUCCAACGUUAAUCGGGGCAGGGUGAGUCGGCUCCUAAGGCGAGGCUGAAAAGCGUAGUCGAUGGGAAACAGGUUAAUAUUCCUGUACUUGGUAAAGUUGCGAUGUGGGGACGGAGUAGGUUAGGUUAUCGCACUGUUGGAUAUGUGCGUUUAAGUUGGUAGGUGGGAAGUUUAGGCAAAUCCGGACUUCCUUAACACAGAGAGAUGAUGACGAGGCUCUACGGAGCUGAAGUAACUGAUGCCACACUUCCAGGAAAAGCCACUAAGCGAAAGGCUUUACUAAACCGUACUGAAAACCGACACAGGUGGUCAGGUAGAGAAUACUCAGGCGCUUGAGAGAACUCGGGUGAAGGAACUAGGCAAAAUAGCACCGUAACUUCGGGAGAAGGUGCGCCGGCGUAGAUUGUAGUCCCUAGCGGGCGAAGGUUGAACCGGUCGAAGAUACCAGCUGGCUGCAACUGUUUAUUAAAAACACAGCACUCUGCAAACACGAAAGUGGACGUAUAGGGUGUGAUGCCUGCCCGGUGCUGGAAGGUUAAUUGAUGGUGUCAUCGCAAGAGAAGCACCUGAUCGAAGCCCCAGUAAACGGCGGCCGUAACUAUAACGGUCCUAAGGUAGCGAAAUUCCUUGUCGGGUAAGUUCCGACCUGCACGAAUGGCAUAAUGAUGGCCAGGCUGUCUCCACCCGAGACUCAGUGAAAUUGAAAUCGCCGUGAAGAUGCGGUGUACCCGCGGCUAGACGGAAAGACCCCGUGAACCUUUACUAUAGCUUGACACUGAACAUUGAAUUUUGAUGUGUAGGAUAGGUGGGAGCCUUUGAAGCAGUGACGCCAGUCAUUGUGGAGGCGACCUUGAAAUACCACCCUUUAACGUUUGAUGUUCUAACGAAGAUGACGAAACGUGGUCUCGGACAGUGUCUGGUGGGUAGUUUGACUGGGGCGGUCUCCUCCCAAAGCGUAACGGAGGAGCACGAAGGUUUGCUAAUCACGGUCGGACAUCG